GCCAGGUGCGGUGGAGCACGCCUAUUGUAAUCCCAGCAACCCAGGAGGCUGAGACAGGAGGAUUGCGGGUUCAAAGCCAGUCUCAGCAAUAGCGAGGCCCUAAGCAACUCAGUGAGACCCUGUCUCUA
rnacentral:sRNA from 1 species